GCCGUGGAGGUCUGUCAGUCAUCUCACGCACAUUCCUGCCCAAAAGUUCUCAAACCACCAGUUGAAUCGUGGCUCAAAGCAGCUCAAGACAUGGCAGGAGCAAUGUAUCGAAGCCUGGCGGAGGAUGGUGUCCGCACAGGACUGGGGGCUCGUGGAUGUAGUCACGAGAUAGUGUUGACAAACUGUCAGGAUGUAACUGAUGGGGAAGUGGUGUGGCGGCGCGCCCCUCCGUACAUUUCAGUACCGCGACAAGUGCCCUUCCGCCGCUUCUUGCCUAUGGCUGCCGACGUGCUUGUGGCUAAGUGUUCCCAACCCUCAGUGUAGGGAUGGUGUGCUCUCCUUACAGUGCAACAUAAUAGUCGCGUCGCGGCCUGAGCUCGGUCCUUGCCGAGGGAAAUGCGUGCGAUGACGAGCACGUCGGUCCGCGGCACAGCCCUCAGGUCAUCUCGCCCGGGAGUGUAACAGUGAGACAGACGCGUGUGCCGGAGUACUGGAGACUGCAUCUCCGCGCCACGCCACUCACAGCGCCACCGCCACCUUCACUUGCCGUAUUGUGGUGGUGACGGGAACACGUUCUCUUGACAUCCUGAAAGGUUUCGAGGAAUAAGAAAACAGUUAAUGAUGGAGGUAAGAAUGAUCACAUCUUUGUGUUGUGUUUUUUUGCUACAUUUUUAUUGCUUUUAUGAAUUGUUCUAAUUUUAAAGAGAACAGGAGGAGG